UGCUAUGCUUAUGAUGGCAUUGGAGAGG
rnacentral:piRNA from 1 species